rnacentral:rRNA from 1 species
UACGUAGGGGGCGAGCGUUGUCCGGAUUUAUUGGGCGUAAAGCGCGCGUAGGCGGCUCGGAAAGUCGGUCGUGAAAUGCCGGGGCUCAACCCCGGGACUGCGUCCGAUACUCCCGAGCUGGAGGCAGGUAGGGGAGAUCGGAAUUCCUGGUGUAGCGGUGAAAUGCGCAGAUAUCAGGAGGAACACCGGUGGCGAAGGCGGAUCUCUGGGCCUUGCCUGACGCUGAGGCGCGAAAGCUAGGGGAGCGAACAGG